AUUGAACGCUGGCGGCAGGCCUAACACAUGCAAGUCGAGCGGAGCGGCGGACGGGUGCGUAAUGCCUAGGAAUCUGCCUGGUAGUGGGGGAUAACGUCCGGCAACAGGCGCUAAUCCCUCCUACUCUCCGAUGAGCCUAGGUGGGAUUAGCUAGUUGGUGGGGUAAAGGCCUACCAAGGCGACGAUCCGUAACUGGUCUGAGAGGAUGAUCAGUCACACUGGAACUGAGACACGGUCCAGACUCCUACGGGAGGCAGCAGUGGGGAAUAUUGGACAAUGGGCGAAAGCCUGAUCCAGCCAUGCCGCGUGUGUGAAGAAGGUCUUCGGAUUGUAAAGCACUUUAAGUUGGGAGGCGUUACCAACAGAAUAAGCACCGGCUAACUUCGUGCCAGCAGCCGCGGUAAUUC
rnacentral:rRNA from 1 species